rnacentral:rRNA from 1 species
CCUACGGGAUGCUGCAGUGAGGAAUAUUGGUCAAUGGACGAGAGUCUGAACCAGCCAAGUAGCGUGAAGGAUGACUGCCCUAUGGGUUGUAAACUUCUUUUAUAUGGGAAUAAAAUGUUCCACGUGUGGGAUUUUGUAUGUACCAUAUGAAUAAGGAUCGGCUAACUCCGUGCCAGCAGCCGCGGUAAUACGGAGGAUCCGAGCGUUAUCCGGAUUUAUUGGGUUUAAAGGGAGCGUAGGUGGAUUGUUAAGUCAGUUGUGAAAGUUUGCGGCUCAACCGUAAAAUUGCAGUUGAAACUGGCAGUCUGGAGUACAGUAGAGGUGGGCGGAAUUCGUGGUGUAGCGGUGAAAUGCUUAGAUAUCACGAAGAACUCCGAUUGCGAAGGCAGCUCACUGGACUGCAACUGACACUGAGGCUCGAAAGUGUGGGUAUCAAACAGGAUUAGAUACCCCAGUAGUC